GGGAAAGGACGGUCGGUAUUUUUUGUGUCUGCCGUCGUGUACAGGUCGCUCGACCGAACUGAACCGUGGUCGGUCAUUUAUUCCCGGUCGCCACUAGCAUCGAGUCCGUCACAAUCCUUUUUCACGUGCAAACAAGUGGUGUGUAAUGUCGUGAUUGUGCGGUGUGGUUAAUGCUGAGUGCUGUGCAUAUAAACGCCGUGAAGUAGUGCCACAAUUGUGCAAUGGAAAUGCUGUACAAAGAGCAAGUAAUGUACUGAUCGUCGUGUUCUCUGUGUGCCUAAGCGUGUGAUGUUUUACCGUCGUCUGUCGAAAGUUGCAUUUUCGAUUGUUCAGUUUUAGUGUACGUGUGUUUUUGCUAAAUAAAGUUGAAACGAUGCAUGAAAAAGUGCCCUAUUUAAAGUGACACAUCUAGAAGGCGCAUGUAAUGGAUGGGGUAAAGAAACUGUGUAGCAAAUCUAUUGCAGUAAGCAUUGCCGACAGUAUUUUCGUGCAAAAAGACGGUUCAGCAUAUUUCCGAUAGAUCAAUCAUCUUCUAUCCAUGGUCAUCUGUACGAGCAGCUUUCAUCACACAAGUCGUCAUCACAAGUGUGUUAUGAUUUUGGGAAUAUUGCCUAUGGCUUGAAUACCUUCCUACGCAAUUUAUUGUUGGCUUUGUAGACCGGCAGCAGCAGCAUCCCUGACAUAGUAGUUGCACAACCCGAGGGCGAAUGUUCUUCUGGAGGUUGGAACUGCAUCCUUCCACGUAUUCGAUGUAUCCCGUAUCUCCCCCACGCUGCCGGUUUUACAGGGGGUGCAUAUUACUAGCAACCGUUUCGCAAUGUUCAUGGCCAUCGAAUUAUCAACACCAGUACAAAUCACGAGGAUAAGGUGUUGCGUUUGCGUGUUGAACGUAUAGCGUGGUAGAAGACACACAGACAUACAGAGAGAUAAAUACAUUCCAAUGUUUCCUGACAACGCCACACAAUCGAAAAGGGUCACAUCGAAUCUGAAAUCAAGCACACGACCCUCCAUCCGGCUGAACCAAUCUGUAUUGAUGUGUGCUUACGUCCUGAAUUGUAGCGAGGUAGGCAAGUAAGCUCGAUUUGUGAAUGAAAUAAGCAGGGUUCAUGCAAAAGAAACCCCAACAUGAGUGCCUAAAACUGUUGUGAGAAAUGGCCUAACGAAAAACUGUAGACAGAAACCAAAAGUCAUAAAAACGCAAAAACAUGCAAAAACAAAGACAUAUUGCCUUGCGUCAAAUGUGACAUAUAUUCCUCUCUGAACACGCCCCUCUGAGAAGGGAUAGGAAAACGAAUGCUUGUGAAGCAAGCAGAUCUAAAGCUAGUACGGCAAAGAGAGAGAGAGAGAGAGAGAGAGAGAGAGAGAGAGAGAGAGAGA